GGGGAAUAUUGCGCAAUGGGGGCAACCCUGACGCAGCCAUGCCGCGUGUGUGAAGAAGGCCUUCGGGUUGUAAAGCACUUUAAGUGGGGGAGAAAAGCGUAGCGUUAAUAGCGUUGCGCCGUGACAUUACCCACAGAAUAAGCACCGGCUAACUCCGUGCCAGCAGCCGCGGUAAUACGGAGGGUGCGAGCGUUAAUCGGAAUUACUGGGCGUAAAGCGCGCGUAGGCGGUUUGUUAAGUCAGCUGUGAAAGCCCCGGGCUCAACCUGGGAACUGCAGUUGAUACUGGCCGACCAGAGUACGAGAGAGGGAGGUAGAAUUCCAUGUGUAGCGGUGAAAUGCGUAGAUAUAUGGAGGAAUACCGGUGGCGAAGGCGGCCUCCUGGCUCGAUACUGACGCUGAGGUGCGAAAGCGUGGGGAUCAAAC
rnacentral:rRNA from 1 species